rnacentral:rRNA from 1 species
ACGGAAUAGAUACCCCGGUAGUCCACGCCCUAAACGAUGUCUACUAGUUGUUGGUGGAGUAAAAUCCAUGAGUAAACGCAGCUAAACGCGUGAAGUAGACCGCCUGGGGAGUACGGUCGCAAGAUUAAAACUCAAAUGAAUUGACGGGGGCCCGCACAAGCGGUGGAUUAUGUGGAUUAAAUUCGAUGCAACGCGAAAAACCUUACCUGGCCUUGACAUGUAACGAACUUUCCAGAGAUGGAUUGGUGCUCGAAAGAGAACGUUAACACAGGUGCUGCAUGGCUGUCGUCAGCUCGUGUCGUGAGAUGUUGGGUUAAGUCCCGCAACGAGCGCAACCCUUGCCAUUAAUUGCCAUCAUUUAGUUGGGCACUUUAAUGGGACUGCCGGUGACAAACCGGAGAAGUGGGGAUGACGUCAAGUCCUCAUGGCCCUUAUGGCCAGGGCUUCACACGUAAUACAAUGGUCGGUACAGAGGGUUGCCAACCCGCGAGGGGAGCCAAUCCCAGAAAGCCGAUCGUAGUCCGGAUUGUAGUCUGCAACUCGACUAC